rnacentral:lncRNA from 1 species
CCACAUAGAGUAACAAAAACAGAUAAUUAUCAUCAAUCUCAUUGUGUUGAAAGUACAGGCAGUGAUCAAAUUUACUUCUUUGAAACCCUAUAGUGAGUACAAAGGAAUCAAACCUCUUGUACCACUGUCUAGGAGAUUGUUUUAACCCAUACAAGGAUCUCCUCAGAAAACACACAUAAUCAGGUUUUGACUUAUCCUUAAAGCCUUUAGGUUGAUUCAUGAAAAUUUGUUCAUCAAGCUCACCAUGUAAGAAAGCAGUGCCUUUAGGUUGAUUCAUGAAAAUUUGUUCAUCAAGCUCACCAUGUAAGAAAGCAGUUUUUACGUCAAGUUGUUCAAGUUCCC